GAUGAACGCUGGCGGCGUGCCUAAUACAUGCAAGUCGAGCGAACAGAUGAGGAGCUUGCUCCUCUGACGUUAGCGGCGGACGGGUGAGUAACACGUGGAUAACCUACCUAUAAGACUGGGAUAACUUCGGGAAACCGGAGCUAAUACCGGAUAAUAUAUUGAACCGCAUGGUUCAAUAGUGAAAGACGGUUUUGCUGUCACUUAUAGAUGGAUCCGCGCCGCAUUAGCUAGUUGGUAAGGUAACGGCUUACCAAGGCAACGAUGCGUAGCCGACCUGAGAGGGUGAUCGGCCACACUGGAACUGAGACACGGUCCAGACUCCUACGGGAGGCAGCAGUAGGGAAUCUUCCGCAAUGGGCGAAAGCCUGACGGAGCAACGCCGCGUGAGUGAUGAAGGUCUUCGGAUCGUAAAACUCUGUUAUUAGGGAAGAACAAAUGUGUAAGUAACUAUGCACGUCUCGACGGUACCUAAUCGGAAAGCCACGGCUAACUACGUG
rnacentral:rRNA from 1 species